rnacentral:lncRNA from 1 species
AUGAAUCAACAGUGGUGAAUCGAAGUUGAAAAGAUCGCUCUUGGAAUUCGGUUUAAAAAAAACUUUAAAUAAAUAUUUAGUAGUUUGAAAUAACAUGGAUCGAUUAUAACUUCAUUUACUAUUCAAAUUAUGUUAUUCCCACAGUAAUAUUCAAUCCAGGGCGUUUGUAUCAUCAUGUUUCGUCCCCCUAGAGCCCCUUCAUAUUUUCACUUGACCUCCGCC